rfam:Camelus ferus unplaced genomic scaffold scaffold356, whole genome shotgun sequence.
AUAGCGGUGCUAUUGGGCACCACAAAAAUAACAAAGCUAAUUUUA